rnacentral:rRNA from 1 species
UACGAAGGGGGCUAGCGUUGCUCGGAAUCACUGGGCGUAAAGCGCACGUAGGCGGCUUACUAAGUCAGGGGUGAAAUCCUGGAGCUCAACUCCAGAACUGCCUUUGAUACUGGUGAGCUUGAGUCCGGAAGAGGUGAGUGGAACUGCGAGUGUAGCGGUGAAAUGCGUAGAUAUCGGGAGGAAUACCAGUGGCGAAGGCGGCCUUCUGGACGGAUACUGACGCUGAGGCGCGAAAGCCAGGGGAGCAAACGGG